rnacentral:tRNA from 1 species
AACCUGGUGGACCGGCCAUGGCCGGGACUGUUAAUCACUAGGUCGGCGGUUCGAGCCCGUCCCGGGGAGCCA